rnacentral:lncRNA from 10 species
CAUGUUCUCAAGGUGUCUGCACUGGAAUGGCAGAUUAUUUGCAAAAAUGACUAAAAUCAUUCCUUCAUCGCUGUAUGCACACUGCUCCCAUCAAGAGGUACUGUCUGUUUCCCCCUCCUUUUAUCCAGUCGGGCCUUGGGACUUACGUUGAUUAGCAGAAUGUGGUGGAAGUGAUGGUGUGAAACUUCCGCAUGUGGGCCUUACAACAUCCACUUUCACCCUUUUGGAACAUUAUGCCACCAUAGGAGCCAGCCCAAGCUAACCUGGUGGGAAAUGAGACAAGAGCUGCCAGCUGAGGACUCCCAGACAAACCAAUCCGCAUUCAAGCCACCAGGAGACUACAGCCGCAAGAAUGAGUCCAUACAAGACCAGCACGAGAACCUCCUAGCUGAGUCCAGACCAACAUAAUUGACCCACUAAACAUAAAACAAUAAAAUAACUUGGUUUCAAACCAAUUCAUUUUGAAGUGGCCUGUUAUACA